CAGAGCUUUUCAUUGAAUUUCUGACCCUUUUAUUUUGAAGUGAAUUGGCGAUGAGUUUUCGGGAAGACAAUGAAGAAUGCCGGGAUCUCAAGAAGCCCUUUUGCAUACCGGAAGUUGGUAUCGGAUGAGUUCCAGGCAGUCCAGUUUAAUGGAUCUUCUGCCCAAGUCCUUCGCGAUGGAUCAAUUUCCGUUGUCCUCUGUCCUAAUCGUCGCCUUGGGCCCUAUCCAAUUUGGCUUCACCGUAUAAUAAUUUCCCACCCCUCGUCUCAAUCUCAUCUUUGGUCUUUGCCCUUUUUCUAAUUUCAUUUUCAGCUAUAAUUAUUAUUCUUUUUCUUUUAAAUUUGGCUAUAUAGUGUGGAUACUCUUCUCCUACUCAAGCUCAAAUUAUCAGUCAUCUUACUCAUACGAUUUCAGAGUUUUCAAAUUUUUGGUUCCUUGUCAAAUGUGGGAGCAAUGGUUGGGGCAAUAGCCAGUGGUCAGAUUGCUGAAUAUUGGCCGAAAUGGGUAACUUAUUCCUUCGUAAUUUCUCUUAUUUACCUUUGUUUAAUGUUUACUUUGAGCUUAGAGCUGAGUAAUUAUAAAUUUAAUUCCUUAAUCUUCCAAAUUUAUACGUAUUUACACUGUAUUGGAUCAAAUAUGAAUAUUUUUUCCAGUUUAACAAUUUAAUGUUACAUUUGUUGUGUUAAAUCUGCAGUCGUUAAUGAUUGCUGCUAUUCCUAACAUUAUAGGAUGGCUGGCCAUCAUUUGCCAACUCAGUGGAUUUUGGUACUUUGUACUUCUCAUUGUGCCUCAUUUGCAAAGCUUGUUGCUAACUUUCUAAGCAUUGGGCAUUUGUAGGAUUAUUGAUUUUUAUUUAUGGGAAGGUUGUUAGAAGGGUUUGGUGUCGGUAUUAUCUCCACCAUGAUUAUAAUUAUGUUUAGGUGCCUGCAUAUAUAGCUGAGAUAGCACCCCUAAACAUGAGAGGAAGCCUUGGAUCUGUGAAUCAGCUAUCGGUUACUUUUGGAAUAAUGCUGACGUAUCUGUUGGGACUUGGGACUGUUUACAAAUUGGAGAGUACUUGCA